GCCCCCGUCGUCCAAUGGAUAGGACAGCAGCCUUCGAAGCUGUUGAUGUGGGUUCGAUUCCUGCCGGGGGCA
rnacentral:tRNA from 2 species